CCUACGGGUGGCAGCAGUAGGGAAUUUUCGUCAAUGGGCGCAAGCCUGAACGAGCGAUGCCGCGGGAGUGAAGAAGGCCUUCGGGUCGUAAAGCUCUGUUGCGGGGGAAAAAAGGCAGCAUCAGGAAUUAGGUGCUGACUGAUGGUGCCCCGCCAGAAAGUCACGGCUAAAUACGUGCCAGCAUCCGCGGUAAUACGUAGGUGGCGAGCGUUUUCCGGAAUGAUUGGUCGUAAAGGGUGCGCAGGCGGAGCUGCAAGUCUGGAGUGAAACGCAUGAGCUCAACUCAUGGGUGGCUUUGGAAACUGGAGGACUGGAGAGCAGGAGAGGGCGGUGGAACUCCAUGUGUAGCGGUAAAAGGCGUAGAUAUAUGGAAGAACACCAGUGGCGAAGGCGGCCGCCUGGCCUGUUGCUGACGCUGAGGCACGAAAGCGUGGGGAGCAAAUAGGAUUAGAUACCCUUGUAGUC
rnacentral:rRNA from 1 species